rnacentral:lncRNA from 1 species
GUGAAAACAACCUCAUUCAUAAUAAAUGCUUACCCGAAUUGAGAUCUAUAGAGUACAUGGAAUUUCUUUUGUCCUUAUUUGAAAUUGGAAAGUGUUAUUAGGAUUAACCCCCUCAACAACUAUAAAAAGGACAGCUAAAAUUUGACUUGACGAUGUCGGAUCAUUGGCGCUAAUAAUUAAUUCUAAAAAUUCGAACGAUUAAAAAUACGUAAUCAAUUUAUUUAAAAUAUAUAGAUAUAGUGCCCACGAGUCUCAAUUGUGACUCGGCCCCAUGACCUCUGAUUUUGAUACCACUUAUCGGAUCGUUGGCGCUAACCAUUAAUCCUAAAAACUCGAGCUGUUAUAAAUACGCAACCAAUUCACUUAAAACGUACAGAUACAGUGCCCACGGGUGUCGAUUGUGACUCGGCCCAACCAGCCUCAUACCACUUCGAACAGGAUUCAGCCCACCAAGCUUCACGCCAUUUUGAACAGGACUUGGCCCAGCAUGGCCUCCCGCUAUAGGGCAGAAUGCUGGUCCAUUUAAGCCAACAGAUGAAUGUAUGAAACCAAAUGUAAGAUUAUGACAUUUUAU